CUUCGAUUGUUAUAUGUUGUGAUUAGUGUUGCUACGGUUAUUGCGAAAGUGGCUGGGAGCUGAGGUUUAGGUUGCCAUAGAUUUCGAGUUGAGG